ACCACAACACACCAAUUUCAUUUUACCCUUUUAUUUUAUCUCUAUUUUAAUAUAUCAUCUAUAUCCAAAGUAAAUUUUUAUUUUUCACAACCCCAAAUCAAGAAGUUCAUACUAAUGAGUAAAGGAAGCAUUCAAAUUCUGAGUUUCUAUUAUUAUUGAGGCUUCAAGAGUUGUAGAAUUAUUGGACAUCAUUUGGUAGCUCGUUGACGCGCUCAGAGUUGCUUCCGGUUCUUUGGAAUCAAGUUAUACAGGAGUCAUUCCAGGUUCCAUUCCACCUGCCUCUCAGUAGAUCUUAGUCACUUUGGUGAGCCCUUCUUCUUUCCAAGGGCUAAGUAAUUAUGUAAUGGAACCUUGCUCAAAAUUUAGAUUAUGUCAAUGCUCCAUAUGUCACAGGCAGGAUCCUCGUGUGGGUUAUGUUAUUUUGAAUCUUGAACUGUUUAGGUAGUAAUUAUGAUUUGGUGAUGUAAGACUUAUGGUUUUAACUAUAUACUCUAGUUA